CUGAAACUCAUCAGCUCUGGGACGAGUGACCAGCCAUGCCUUUUCAUUUCCCCCAAUCGAGGAAAAGCGGUUCCUCGAUUCUGCAGGAAUCAGUGCAGACUUAAUUUUUGGAAUGGCUGGAUGAAGCUGAAAACAAAACCUAACGUUAUUAUUCAGAGCAGUUCAAAGGGAAUUCUAGGAUACUUAGGUUCAAUACUUCAAAGGCCCUCUUAGGAAACGAGAGAUCUGUGUUCUUCACCGAGGUCAGUGCAAAGCUGACUAAUCUAGCGAGAAAGAGGUUAACCUGCAGAGCCAGUGGGGAUGUGACAGCUGGUUCACAGGUCAUUUAUUACAGCCUGUCAUGGUUAACUGCAUUCGAAGAGGUGGUUCGUCUCAAAUUAGGGUGAACAAUUUAUUAGGAGCACAUUGUGCACCUGCUCCUGAGUCAGAAAUCGGUGUCGUUCGAGAAUGCAAUUCAGAAGUGCUUGGCAGCAGGGGGCGGCCGUGGAGGCAUCAGGAGCGAAGGUCCAGGCGCAGAACUCCAGCAUGAUCCGUCUCGAACCCCCGAGAGCAGGAGCUCCUCCUGGUGCUCAGGGCUCCCGACUCCGGGCAGAGGUCAGCGCAGGAAGAGCACCGGGCCUAAUACUGCUCCUUGCGGAACACCCCUGCUCCCACCAGGCCAGCUACAGCUUGUGUGCUUUAAGUUGUUGCUGUCAGGUCCAUAAUCUUUCCAGGACUGGAGACUGGUGUCCCGAGUGUCCAUGAGCUCCGAUUCCAGAAGGCAGCUGGGUGCAAGAGGUCCCUGCAUCGUACGAGUUCAGCAUGCGUUCAGCUAAUUACUCCCAAGCAGAAGAGAGCAGAAACUGCCAGCAGACAGGAGGGUUUGUGACUCAUUAAACUCCUGUGGGUGUUCUUAGCGCAUUGAUCGCUUCUGCUCCUAUACAGUAGAAACCAUUUGUUCUGCAGGGAGUGAAAGCCAGCAGUUUUCCGUUUUGGCUCCACUCCUCUUGCUCGGCUCCCAGCUGACCAGGGACUGACUGAGUCAGCGGUGCUACCUGGAUUCUGGCAGGUUCUCUUCCACAGUCCUUGUGUCAGACCUGCACGGUUAAUACUGUGCAGAAUGUGGGCAUGGCGUUGACUAACUCCUUGGGUCAUCACAUGGCAUACUGGGAUUAUUAGAAGUCGUUAAUUAGAUUCCACGUGAAAAGACUUUUAAAGAAAAUAAACAUUUCUUGAAAAUGACCGGGCAAACCCUGGCAGGUACAUUUUACUGUAGGCAAAUGCAGUGUGUUACUUAGAAGUAAAAAUAAAUCUUUCCGAAUUCUUCUCUGAAAACUCUGCCCUCCUCCCUCCUGCGUGUCUGACUCCGGACAUUCUGAACCCCACUUUCCUGCCUUGCGCCCCCGGCUUGCAGGGACAGACCCCGGCUGCCCCAGGACCCUGUCCUGGAUGGAGAGAGUAGAAUGGGGAUGGGCGCAUGACCCCCCACCUGUCACCUAGAAGUUUAAAAAUAUACCGCAACAAGCUGCAGGCACUUUGUACAGCUAGAGCGCUGACUGGCCGGUCCUUGGAGCUGCCGCCAUCCUGCUGCUGCUGUCUGUGGCCACAGCUGGAGCUUCUUCAGUCAGCGGAGACCCGCGCAGGUGAGUCCAGUUCAGACUGCCGCACAGCCGCGAAUCCGUGUGGCUCUGUCGCCCUUCGUUUCCAGCGGGAGGUGAGAGGAGAUUAAGAAAACGGGAAACGUGUUGCAUAUACAACAUGGAUGGUUUUCAGAUGGAAACAGGCCACUCUGUUGAAACUGGUUUACUUGGACUCCUUCACUAUUCUGUCAUGGAACUAAUUUAUAGAGCUGAUAGAGAAAUAGAAACCGUGGAAGAAAAGGAAUGUACUGAAGACCUUAUUUUUAGAAAUAAUUAAUUGUGUUCUACCCAGCUAAUCUGGAAUUAGCGGUUCUGCGCAUCCCUCCCCAGCAGCAUUGCAAGCCUGCAAGGACCCGGGAAACCACAGGGGGCGCUGUGGUCACCACAUGCUCUGCAGAGUUCAGCCAGCUGGGCAACGCCAGUCACCGCCAGCCUGCAGCACAGUCCGGGCUCAGAUCCCUGCCCACACAUCCCAGGAUGCACUCGGGCACACGUCUACACAGGGUGAACUGCUCAGGAGGCUCUGGACUAUUCUUUAAUGAUGAAGAACAUAUCAAUGAUAAUCAUACAUAUCAAAUGAUGUUACUAGGCGGAAAUAAAGCAGGGAAUACUUGAGUCACUUGUGACCUGAAAUAAAUUUGAUUCAGCUACUGGAGGUAUAGUUUUAGGAAUACAUUCAAGCUGUAAACAGCACCGACUUCAUGAGAUGUUCCGCACUUGAAAUGGUGAAGAAAGGGAUUUGUCUGAUUGCAAGAAAGUCUGUUCUUUAAACGUCCGUCAGACAGAGCUGUUUGAACGGGCUCUGCCGGUGGGUCUUCCAGGCAGGUGAUCCUGAGUGUCUGAAGAGGAGAGGAAAAAAGCUGCUGGACAGACAGGAGGUCAGUCAUCACCUCCUGCACCACGUCAAGACGACAAGACUUUGAACUGCAGGGGCAAACAGAUAUUUCUGUUCUGCUCAACCUUAUUUUUGAAAAACGCUUUAUCUGACUAACUUAAAAGUUCUUAAAAGAAAUUCUAUUUAAACAAUAGUAUUUAAACAAAUACUUCACAUUGUG
ensembl:lincRNA